UCCGACUCUCGGUUGAACUUGGCUCAUCCUUUUGCGGCAAGCUGUUGGUGCGGACUAAGUUGUGUCUUGGGACUGUGGUUGUGGUGGUCGUGUUUGCUUGUCUAUCGCUACUCGAUCGAGUGUGUGUUUAGGAUUUUAUUUUUCUUAUUCUGCUUCUUGUUAUCUAUGUAUUUCUGUCACAAAUUAAAAACUUGGUAAUAAUAUCUUAACAUUUUUACCAAAAAAAAAAAAAAAAAAAAUCCUCAGUUACAUUAGUUUCUCUUAUUAAUCUGUCAUAUAUAUCUUGUCCCCUUUGAAAGUGUUUUACGAAGAACAAACAUAAAUCAGAUCUAACCUUUUUUAAUCUCUUUUGCAUGUUGGAUCUGAUGACUUUCUUGGUUAUUCCGAUGAGCUGGAAACAUGUUACAAUGCCUUUUUUAUUGAAAGUUUAAGCCGUACAAACAAAUAUGGUCACAACUACUCAAAUGGUAUACAAUCUAUACAAUUAACGUUUGUUAAAAUUGUAGAAACUUAAACAAUAUAUAAUUAUUUUAAAUAUGUAAAAUAUAAUAAUUUUUUUAAAAAAAAUAUUCUUAUUUUCUAGAUAAAAAGUAUUUCUUAUAUUAAUUAUCCCAAGAUUUUAUUAUUUAACAGUUACUUUGUAUAAUAGUUAAAUAGUUGAUAUAAAUCAAAAAAGUUAAUUUAAUAUUUAUAUAUUAAUAAAAUAAAUUAAUCUAU
rnacentral:lncRNA from 1 species